UGGCUCAGGACGAACGCUGGCGGCGUGCUUCAUACAUGCAAGUCGAACGAUAAGGCGUCUUCGGACGUACAUAAGUGGCGGACGGGUGAGUAAUGUGUAGAGAAUCUGCCCUAGAGAGUGGGACAACAGUUGGAAACGACUGCUAAUACCGCAUAUGAGCGUAGCUGAAAUGCUAUUCUUGAAAACUCCGGUGCUCUGGGAUGAGUCUGCAUCUGAUUAGCUAGUUGGGGGUGUAAUGGACCACCAAGGCGACGAUCAGUAGCUGGUUUGAGAGGAUGAUCAGCCACAAUGGGACUGAGACACGGCCCAUAUUCCUACGGGAGGCAGCAGUAGGGAAUUUUGCGCAAUGGGGGGAACCCUGACGCCAGCAACGCCGCGUGACCGAUGAAGCCCUUCGGGGUGUAAAGGUCUGUCAGUGGGGACGAAAGAUGACGGUACCCGCAGAGGAAGCAUCGGCUAACUCCGUGCCAGCAGCCGC
rnacentral:rRNA from 1 species